CUUGGUAGGUGGAUGAUCUAAAAUUAACAGCAGGGCUUAUAUGGAUGCAGACAGCAAAGAACAGAGAACGUUGGAAAGAACCUGAAGAGGCGUAUAUCCAAAGAUGAAUGUGAGAUACUGGAGGAGGAGGAGAUGAUGAGAAUUAAAAAACAACAACAGCCCAAUUAGGACUAGCAAUGCAUAACAGCAUAACAGUUGGAAAAGGAAGAAGAAAAAGAACACAGCAGGGUGGGAGGACGGAAAGCCAAGCCUGGAGGGAAUUAAUCCUUGAUCAGCAGCACUUCUUUUAGACAGGAGGACAACAUUUUAUUGCAGCUCCCUCAAACUGUUGGUAAUAAUAUAAAAAGUCUGUCUAUUUUUUUGUUAUAAUGCUUUUAUUUAUCAUGUUGUUUUAAUGUACAGUGGUACCUCGGGUUAAGUACUUAAUUCGUUCCGGAGGUCCGUUCUUAACCUGAAACUGUUCUUAACCUGAAGCACCACUUUAGCUAAUGGGGCCUCCUGCUGCCGCUGCGCCGCUGCUGCACGAUUUCUGUUCUUAUCCUGAAGCAAAGUUUUUAACCCGAAGUAAUAUUUCUGGGUUAGCGGAGUCUGUAACCUGAAGCGCAUGUAACCUGAAGCGUAUGUAACCCGAGGUACCACUGUACUGUUUUCUUAAGUUGUGUUUUGCUGUUGUCUUGGGAUUUGUAGGAAGGGUACUAUAAAAAUAUAUGGCAUACAUAAAUAGGAGAAGUAGAGAGAGAGCUUGUGGAAUGUAGUGCAGAGAAAAUCCUAUGCGAGACAGUAUCUUUCACUGGGUAUGGCCUGAAGGCACAUGAAACUACCACUUUGCUGAAGCUAAGCUAAUCUGGGUCUGGUCAGUGCCUGGAUGAGAGACUGCCUAAGAACCACAUGCCUAGAAACAAAGGAAAAGUAGCAUAUAACUGAAAGAAAAUAAAUAAAUAACAUUUCUGUAGGACCCUGCCUAUAGGGACUGGAUAACCCAAUGGCUGGAGCAGGUUUUACUUUUACCUCAGGAACAGGGCCAGUCCUACCAUGGGACAAAGGGAGGCAACUAUGUUAGGUGGCAAGUGUCAUGGCAGUGGCAGCCUUCCCCAUUAUGCCUCCUCAGGCACCAACAUUUAUUGGGCCAACCAAUCUCAUAAAUACCAUGACCUUUACUUUCUGCUUUGGAGGUGCUGUGAAUAAAUUUUAUUCCAACAUCAACAGUAUCUCCAAGAGAUAUUUAUGUUGCAUUCAGGCAUGAUGCAUUAACUGUGCACUGUUCCCUUAAGAACAACAUGGACUUGGGGCUACCCACUUCUCUCUAUUCCUGUGGACUUCUGCUGCCCUGUGCUUUAGAUUCCUGUCAAGGAGUUGUUGUUUUUAAAAAGUAUGCACACAUAGACAUUUUUUUUUAAAAAAAGAACUUUUUCUAUGUUACCAACCCCUACUUUGAGUACGAAUGAGUAAUUAACAGGCAACAAAAUAGUGAAUGGUGACCAUUUACUUCUAUGGUAUAAAAUGCAGUGGGUAUGUGCAGCCUUUAAAGUGAAGAACACAGCUCACCAAAAGUGAACAUCAAUCAAAGAACUUGCAUUAUGCAGUCUAGGAUGUUGUCACAACCCACAUAGUCUUUAUCAAUCUAUAUACCUACCUACCAACCUGUUCUCAGUUUCAGUGCGGAAGGCAAAACUGACAUUAAUAUUUCUUAAACACACAAAAUCAGAUUUUUUUGUUUGUUUUUGUUUUAAAGGUAAUGUUGGGAUUAGACUGAUAAAAAGCUCAUCCUAUCAUACCGGGUGAAAGUGCUUGCUUCCAUUGAUUACAAAAUGACAAAUCCUCUUAAAAUCCCAGCAGGAUCCUAACCAAUUUAUGGACACCACAUCUCAAAGGUCAAUCGCCAAAGGACAUUCGGAGAGCAGUGCAGUUACCAUAUUGAAUGUCCUUUUCAAUACAAAGAGCAACUGUAAUUGCUAUUGGCUCUGCAGGAGGGAGAAUUCACAUUAUGCCUGUGAGCCGCAUAGCAUCCCUCAGCAACACCGUUGCCAUGUUACAGGAAGACAAGGAGGAGGCAGCUUCACGGAUACAAAGGGUUUUUGUUCUUCAAGCAACAAGUCCCCAUUUCAGCACCUGGUCUCCUUAAGAAAAAGUCAGGGCCUAAGCACCAGGCAAAGCCUACCUAGGCAGAUGCCUUUUCUGGGCUCUUAUACCUAUCUCUGAGACUCAGAAUGGAGUGGUGGGCAGCUGGACUGCCACCAUUUUAAACUCCCCACAGUGUGCCCUGGAAGGAUGUUACAUUGGGCCAUUAUUAGAAUAAUUAGAUAAUUAGAAUAGUCACAUGUACCUGUCACAGAGCAUGAUGGUGGUGGUGCUUGAGGGGACCCAUAGAAAGCAUUUUGCCAGGCCCCCUCACACCUAAAGCUAGGCCUGUGAGAGACAUUGUCUAAGAUGGAGUAUAUUUAUAAAUGCUACAUUACACUGAUUUGGGAACAACAGCUGGAGGUCCAUGAAUCAAAUCUAGCCCAAGAGGUGCCCUCUGCCCUUUAAAGUUAUCUAGACCGAGACCCAAAAUCGGAAAUUUUAUUUUAAUUUAUUUUGCUGUCGACUGCCCAGUCAGUAGAGCAUAAGACUCUUAAUAUCAGGGUCAUGGGUUUCGAUCCCCACAUUGGAUGAGAGAUUUCUGUACCGCAGGGGGUUAGACUAGAUGGUCCUCAUGGCCCCUUCCAACUCUAUACUUCUAUGACAGCAAGCCAUUUUGGAAGCUGGGAACUAGGCACUGGCUGAGAGGUCACCAUGCGCUUUGGUCUUCUGGUCUGAAAGCAGGCUCCUCACUAAACUACUUGCUGACAGAGAGAUAAAUGCCUUCCUGGAGGCUGCAAGAGCAACUCUCAGUGUGCGCCCAAUUCAAAGCGAUUACCAACCAAAUUAAAAUAAAUGAACAAACAAAAUAAUCAGCGUUUUCAGAAACUGCUACUAGGCAACCCUUCCCUCACAACACAUCCUUUGGCACCAUGUAACAUAGAUUCAAUAAAAAAUAACCCCCCUCCCCUGCACCCCAGCUGUAGCAAUCAGGAUUGCAAAAACUGGCCGCAAUUUGUAAGAGAGACAGAUUUAGGAAAUUACAUAAAAACUUCAAAUUAACCAGCCAUUUUUAUUUAUUUAUCGAAAAUUGGAAAUGACCACAUAUGCCUAAUAUCUGAACAAGAAGAUAUAGUUGGGUGGGGGGGUGAGGUAGGGAACAAAACUUCAUCUUCACAAAAAUGAACCUCUAAAACACCCCUAGGGUACAUAUAUACCAUACACUUAAAGCACAUUCUCACUCCCCCCAAGGGGGUGGAAUGGGGUCAGGGACGGAACAGGCCUAUACGUGAGCACUGAUGCGGGCAAUGAUCCGGAACGCAACCCUCACACAAAUGGGGAGUUACCUAUAGUUCUACAUGAAUGUGCCACCCGCUCAAGAAUUUCUGCUUCAACGAUGGAGCAUUCUGCCCCUCUCUUCUGCCCACGCACCCUUAAAUCUGUUCUGAUGGGUCCCCCAGAUACUUUGAAGCCAAUGUGAGGAAAGCGUGGGAUAUGCACAGGGAAAGGAAGUUCGCUUGCGCAAGCAUAAACCCUUGCACCAACUGAACGAGGGCACCGGAUGCCGCCCUUUGCCAUGGCAUCUUUGAAUGUGAGACAAUGAGGUGGAUUUAGAUGGGGCCACCGAUAAGAAAAUUGCAAUAGCUCCCAGUGGAUUUAUAAAAGGGGCCAACAUGCCACUUAAUACGUCAUCUAAAUACCUUUAUAAAUAAUGGGAAGGAUUCAAAUUGUAACUUGAGACUGUCACCAUCACUCACUUUAUGCAGAAGCCUGUAGAAUACCCUGAAAAGCUCAAUGGAAGGGAAUCCACCUUGCAUGCCAGAGGUCCCAGAGUUCCAUCUCCAGGUAGGGCUUAGAAUGUCCCCUGCCUGAAAGCCACUGUAGACAAUAUUGAGCUUGAUGGACCAAUGGUCUGACUCAGCAGCUCCCUAUGUUCUUAUGUAACCAAAGCAAUAGGAGUGGCUCCAGUUAGAAGCACAAAAUGGAAGUGCCAGAAGGCCCAGGCAUGGGGCUCUUUGGAUCCAGGCCAACAGAGUACUUCUAAGUGCUAUAGGCUGCAUAUCUGAGCCUCCUCCAUCAUAUGCUGGGAGAUGCUGCAAGAGAGAGGCAAUGAAGCAUGCAAUGAAAUUGGUAAACAAAGCAGAUAGCUUAACUACUACUGUAUAUCAUCACAGCAAUCUGUUUACUGGAACAAGAUAACAUUGAAUUUGCAUGUUUGAAGCCAAACAGUCAUGCAGCUUGCAAAUCAAGAAUGAAACAGUGGGCAAUUACAAUAAAAUUCAUUAUUCAAGAAAUGUCCUUAGAUGAAUUCCUUAUUCGCUCAUUGCAUUCUUUUAAAAUUCCUAAGAAUGUAACUGAAGUGUUUCUAACACAAUUCUCUACCUAAAUAAAAUAAUGCAAUUUCUGUGAAACUGUCAAAUGUAAUUGCAUUAACAGAAAGCGAUACUACUUGCAUUCACUUAAUUGAGUGUUUCAGAAACAGUUAAUUCAAACAGACUCCGCUCAUUACCAAAUUGAGUUUUUAAAGCCAAUGUGUUUUUUCUCCACCCCCCCCCUCUCUCUUAUGCACACAUCCUAAACCAGAGCCCCAUGAACAGCUUAAUUAGGUCUUAUAAGCAUGAGCUAUCCUAUUAAUUUCAACAGAGUGAGCACAUCUGUGCAUGCAAAGGAUAGGUAUACAUGAAUGGGGCUGUGCUUGGAAGCAGCAAACUCCAGUAGCACAUCAGAGAUCCCAAGUACACAAGGAACUACUGUGCUGAAACACCCUCUCAAGGUCAUUAUGGACCACAUGCUUCCCUGGGCAAGGACCAUCUUUGGUGCUCCUUUCCAUUUGUUCAACUUUUGAACGAUAUUUUUUAAUCCCAUUUUGUAAUCUCAUGUCUUUGAUGCACAAUUUUCAAUCCCAUUUACCCUCCUGCUAUUUAAAAUGAUAUACAAUUUCAUGCAUGGAACUGAUCCACAACCAUGCGCAUGCACACUCUUUAUUUUUUUUAUUUAAAAUGUUCAUGUGCCACCCAAUAACUAAGGUUCCCAGACUGAUAGAAUUAUAGAGUUGGAAGGGCUCACAAGAGUGAUCUAGCCCAAUCCAUUGCAAUGCAGAAAUCUUUUGCCUGGCAAUGUGGGUCUUGAACCCACAACCCUGAGAUUAAGAGAAGAAGAAGAGGAGGAGGAGGAAGAGUUUGGAAUUGAUAUCCCACUUUAUCACUACCCGAAGGAGUCUCAAAGCGGCUAACAUUUUCCCUUCCCUUCCUCCCCCACAACAAACACUCUGUGAGGUGAGUGGGGCUGAGAGACUUCAGAGAAGUGUGACUAGCCCAAGGUCACUCAGCAGCUGCAUGUGGAGGAGCGGAAACACGAAGCCGGUUCACCAGAUUACGAGUCUACCGCUCUUAACCACUACACCACACUGGCUCUCACGCUCCAUCAGUCUCACGCUCUAUCAGCUGAGCUAUUCUAAUGGACAAUUACCAGUAGAGACAUGAAGUCUAAACACAACAAAACCAACAAAAGCACAAAUCCAAAACACAAGGAAAUUACGUCAGUGCAAAGCCUUUAAAAAGCACUGGAAUACUCUUAGCUUUGAAAGCUGGGGUGGUGGUCCUAGCAUCCAAAAGAUCGCAAUGGAGGAAUCAGGCAAGCCUCUCUGGGGAGGAAAUUCCACAAAGGUGCACCACCACUGAAAAGGUCCUUUCCACAUUUGGCAGAGGCAGCCGUAGAAGGGCCUCAGAAAAUGAUCCUACAGUGCACCUAAGUAUACAUGAGAAGAAGCUGGCAAGUGGCCACUGGCUAGAGACAUUUAGAACUUUUAAGGUUAAUACCAGCACUUUGAAUUGGACCCAGAAACAAACUGAAAGCCCUCACAGAUGGCAAAACGCUGGUGCAAUAUGGUUUGUGGAAUGGGCAGUGGUGUUGUAAGCUUUCUCCACACAGAAAUCAGUUUAAAUCAGGGUGGGGGAAGUUGUGAUCCUCCACAUGUUACUGGAUUACAAUUUCCUUCCUCUUUGGCCAUUGACCAUGCUAGCUGGGGCUCCAACAACAUAUGCAGAGUUGCAGGUGCCCCAUGCCUGAUUUAAAGCAAACCCCACCCUGCCCAAUAUUUGUGUGCAGUGUUAAAAUUGCAAGAGAAGCCAUCACAUCACCUGUUAUAACUUGGAUAGAGGGAUUCUCUUCACCUCCCUCUCAGUUGUUCAUGGAAAUAGUUGCUAACAUUCACCCUAUUCGUUUUUUUACAGGACAACAUCAUGGUGUCUAUUUAGCGUGUCUGUUAAGAAGACAUGUCAAAAGUAAUGCUUAGUUCUCAUUGAGGUGGCAAACUGCAUCUUAGGUUGGAGAAGAAAUUCAAUACAGCUUGCGAUUAAAGAUCAACCUACCAAAUUAUCACUUUUGAAACAACCCAGCCAUCCUUCAACAGUCACACAUCUACAGAUUUUGCAAUGUAGUUCCCCAACCAAGCAAUGUCUACAAAAUGCAUAUACUUUGGUAAAGUGUACCUUAAAAUGCAGAUAUAAAAAAAAUAAAAUACAGAAAUGUCUUAUUUUAGGGGAAAUUGCUUUGCAAAAAUGGGUAUAUUACAAAGAAUUACAUUCACACACAUGUAUAUGGGG
rnacentral:lncRNA from 1 species